AUUGAACGCUGGCGGCAGGCCUAACACAUGCAAGUCGAACGAGUGGCGGACGGGUGAGUAAUGUCUGGGCAACUGCCUGAUGGAGGGGGAUAAGUACUGGAAACGGUAGCUAAUACCGCAUAACACAGGAUGUGCCCAGGUGGGAUGAGCUAGUAGGUGGGGUAAAGGCUCACCUAGGCGACGAGCCCUAGCUGGUCUGAGAGGCUGACCGGACACACUGGGACUGAGACACGGUCCAGACUCCUACGGGAGGCAGCAGUGGGGAAUAUUGGACAAUGGGCGAAAGCCUGAUGCAGCCAUGCCGCGUGUAUGAAGAAGGCCUUCGGGUUGUAAAGUACUUUCAUCGGGGAGGCGGUACCCGCAGAAGAAGCACCGGCUAACUCCGUGCCAGCAGCCGCGGUAAUUC
rnacentral:rRNA from 1 species